rnacentral:sRNA from 1 species
CCACAAUGCCCAGCUAAUUUUUAGAUUUUUCUUUUACAGAGACAGGGUCUCACUCUUUUGACCAGGCUGGUUUUGAACUCUGGACUCAAGCAAUUACCCCACCUCGGCCUCCUAAAGUGCUGGGAUUACAGGCAUGAGCCACCAUACCCAGCCAGUUGUAUUUUCUUUUUCCUUAUAUAGAGUAAAAUAAGGGUGAGUGACCAAGAGGUUGAUGCAUACCUAGAUCACCACUUUAAAUGCCUUCCCACGCACCCCUUUCCUCCUGUUCCCUCUACCUGCAGGUUGUAGAUGAGCAUGAGAGUGUGGAGCAGAGUCGGCGAGCGCAAGCCGAGCCCAUCAACCUGGACAGCUGUCUCCGUGCUUUCACCAGUGAGGAAGAGCUAGGGGAAAAUGAGAUGUACUACUGUUCCAAGUGUAAGACCCACUGCUUAGCAACAAAGAAGCUGGAUCUCUGGAGGCUUCCACCCAUCCUGAUUAUUCACCUUAAGCGAUUUCAAUUUGUAAAUGGUCGGUGGAUAAAAUCACAGAAAAUUGUCAAAUUUCCUCGGGAAAGUUUUGAUCCAAGUGCUUUUUUGGUACCAAGAGACCCGGCUCUCUGCCAGCGUAAACCACUCACACCCCAGGGGGAUGAGCUCUCUGAGCCCAGGAUUCUGGCAAGGGAGGUGAAGAAAGUGGAUGCGCAGAGUUCGGCUGGGGAAGAGGACGUGCUCCUGAGCAAAAGCCCAUCCUCACUCAGCGCUA